rnacentral:rRNA from 1 species
AGCAGUCGCCGCGGUAAUACAGAGGGUGCGAGCGUUAAUCGGAUUUACUGGGCGUAAAGCGUGCGUAGGCGGCUUUUUAAGUCGGAUGUGAAAUCCCUGAGCUUAACUUAGGAAUUGCAUUCGAUACUGGGAAGCUAGAGUAUGGGAGAGGAUGGUAGAAUUCCAGGUGUAGCGGUGAAAUGCGUAGAGAUCUGGAGGAAUACCGAUGGCGAAGGCAGCCAUCUGGCCUAAUACUGACGCUGAGGUACGAAAGCAUGGGGAGCAAACAGGAUUAGAUACCCCCUGUAGUCCCUGUCUCUUAUA